GAUGAACGCUGGCGGCGUGCCUAAUACAUGCGAGUCGAGCGAACGGACGAGAAGCUUGCUUCUCUGAUGUUAGCGGCGGACGGGUGAGUAACACGUGGAUAACCUACCUAUAAGACUGGGAUAACUUCGGGAAACCGGAGCUAAUACCGGAUGAUAUUUUGAACCGCAUGGUUCAAAAGUGAAAGACGGUCUUGCUGUCACUUAUAGAUGGAUCCGCGCUGCAUUAGCUAGUUGGUAAGGUAAUGGCUUACCAAGGCAACGAUGCAUAGCCGACCUGAGAGGGUGAUCGGCCACACUGGAACUGAGACUCGGUCCAGACUCCUACGGGAGGCAGCAGUAGGGAAUCUUCCGCAAUGGGCGAAAGCCUGACGGAGCAACGCCGCGUGAGUGAUGAAGGUCUUCGGAUCGUAAAACUCUGUUAUUAGGGAAGAACAUAUGUGUAAGUAACUGUGCACAUCUUGACGGUACCUAAUCAGAAAGCCACGGCUAACUACGUG
rnacentral:rRNA from 1 species